GCGUGGGUGGCUCAGUCAGUUGGGCAUCUGACUUCCGUUCAGGUCAUGAUCUCAUGUCUUGUGAGUUCGAACCCCACAUCAGGCU
rnacentral:tRNA from 1 species